GUGGGCACCCAGCCUCAGUGACCUUUGCUCUGCUGUUGCCAACCAUGUGACGUGAACAAAGGAGCCUCAAACCCUGGGGGCCUGGCCCAGGCUGAGCACUCUGAGCAGCCCAGGGUGGGAGUCUCCGCCACGCACCACUCUGUUCCUGCAGCAGUUCUCAGCAAAACUGCUCGGUGACCCUGAGAAGGGUCGCCUCUGGAGCUGAAGGGCAGGCAAGGGGAGCCCCACUGCACUGUGGCAUGAAGACCUUUAUCCUUGAAUCAGACCUGAACCAAACUGUGGAUUCUGCCAGCCCAGCUUGCACAGUCACCUCCUGAGUGAGUCCUAAUGACUGACACGUGUGAUCUGAGGCUGGGGAAGUGCAGCAAAGUAAAAAAAAAAAGAGCUGUGGCUGCAUUUGGCUCCCUCUGAACUGUC
rnacentral:lncRNA from 1 species